GAAGAAGAAGAAGAAGAAGAAGAAGAAGAGAAGAAGAAGAAGAAGAAGAAGAAGAGAAGAAGAAGAAGAAGUAAUUCUUUGCCAGAUUCUCAGAAGACAUGGCCUGGGGCUGCCCCCCAGUUGAGGCAGCUUGGGUAUAUAUAUGUUUUUAGCUCAAGGUUGCUCUACCUUCAUAGUGACAGCCUUGCUUCCCCUGAGGAUGGCUAUACCAGGAAGCUGAUUGGAUGAUUGGCAACAGAAAUGACUUUGGCCUUAUGAGCUGCAGAAGGUCAGGAGAUGGAGCUUCUGGGAAGUCCAAGAGUGUAGUGUAUGGUGGGUUUUACAACCAGAAAAUCCAGCAUUGAUCCCCUGAGGACCAACCUUCAGGACUCAGCUGACAUACGAACUCAUCUUGGGGCUACAUUGCAUGUGCACUUGAAUUUUGUGGGGACCGGUUAAGGUUGAGCCCAUUAUCCCAAGUAGAAUAAGGUCUGGACCAUCAACAAAACAAUAAAUCAAGCCCUGAUUUGUAGCGCUUGCCAAUGUCCAAGGUCUAAAUGUGCACACUCAAAAUUCAGCCGUCAGCUCUUUGGAGCCUGUAGGAGCUGGCUCCAGCACACCCCUGGGAGGUACUUCAUUGCAUAGACGAGAAAAAUGGGGCCCAAAGGGGUGAAUGAUUUGCUGAACGUCAGAGCUGGGAUAUGAAACCAGGCCUUCCAACUAUAAAUCCAAUACUCUUUCUAUUAUAUUCCCAGUUGUAUGCGAUGGUGACCCUACAGGACGAUCUAGGAACUAUAGGAAGAACUGCAUAGGGAAGUGACUUGAAAGGUGCUUGGGAGUGAACUCAGGACCUCCUAGAGGAAGGGAGCAGGGAAGAAAUGCAUGGACCCGUUCCUGACAGCAUCUUCAACUAUCGCUAUUCUUUGUAAAUGAGGCUUUGCAAUGAACAAGGUUGUUGUCUUGGCCCAAUAAGAAACAAUUUGGGGGAAAAUCUAUACUGUUGUUUUUGUAGAUCCCAUCAGCUAUGGAAACAAUUCCAUGAAUCGCUGAGCCUAGAAUCUGCUUUAGGGAGCCAUUCAGCCUUACUGUGCCUCAGUUUUGCCACCAGGAUCAAUGGGAUCAUAAGGACAUCGGCCCUAUCAUCCUACAUCAAAACUGAGAGGUGAAUAUUCCAAUGUUCUUAGAGAGAAUAAGAAUGCUGUAGGGAGGUAGUUCUUCAUAUGUAGGGUGGCAGCCUUUGAGGUAGCCACGGGAAUAGUAUUUUUAUUGUCUUCGACAAAAUGUGCAGUAUGACUCAGUGUAAUAAACAAACAAACAAACAAUUAAAU